AGUGAACGCUGGCGGUAGGCCUAACACAUGCAAGUCGAACGGCAGCACAGUAAGAGCUUGCUCUUACGGGUGGCGAGUGGCGGACGGGUGAGGAAUACAUCGGAAUCUACUUUUUCGUGGGGGAUAACGUAGGGAAACUUACGCUAAUACCGCAUACGACCUACGGGUGAAAGCAGGGGAUCUUCGGACCUUGCGCGAUUGAAUGAGCCGAUGUCGGAUUAGCUAGUUGGCGGGGUAAAGGCCCACCAAGGCGACGAUCCGUAGCUGGUCUGAGAGGAUGACCAGCCACACUGGAACUGAGACACGGUCCAGACUCCUACGGGAGGCAGCAGUGGGGAAUAUUGGACAAUGGGCGCAAGCCUGAUCCAGCCAUACCGCGUGGGUGAAGAAGGCCUUCGGGUUGUAAAGCCCUUUUGUUGGGAAAGAAGAGCAGCAGGUUAAUACCCCGCUGUUCUGACGGUACCCAAAGAAUAAGCACCGGCUAACUUCGUG
rnacentral:rRNA from 1 species